rnacentral:sRNA from 20 species
GUCACAAACCCGCCGUUAAUUGCUCAGGCAAUAUAACGGGGGCUUGAUUUAAAGCCCAUGAUGUGACCAGUUCACCUGAUUUUCAGGUAAACGUUAUCUAAUUCAUGACACCUCUUGGUACGUGCCAGCCUAGAGCAACUGUC